rnacentral:tRNA from 2 species
AGGGCUAUGGUGAAGUGGACAAACACAUCUGGUUGCAACCCAGACAAUCGCCAGUUCGAAUCUGGUUAGUCCUU